ACCUGAUUUUAAUCCUCAAACAUAUUUUGAUUGCUAGAUUUCUUUGAAAUGCCGGUUAGAAUACUUUUUUUGUUUCCCAAGUUCUGGACAUUCCAUUACAACUUUGUAGUCCAAACUCUCAGCUGGGGGAUGGUUCCAUGUACAGCAGGUAGAGUGUGGCUUAGCAGAGAGAGUUAUAAUCCAGAAAGCAGACAAUGUAACCACUAGAAGACACAGAUCCAAAGCAGCAGCAGGUGAUCUCAGUCUGUCAGCCUCCCUGUCAGUGGUGAGCCAGCUCUCCGGCAUUGCCU